AAACUUUCAACAACGGAUCUCUUGGUUCUGGCAUCGAUGAAGAACGCAGCGAAAUGCGAUAAGUAAUGUGAAUUGCAUCUUUGAACGCACAUUGCGCCCUUUGGUAUUCCGAAGGGCAUGCCUGUUCGAGCGUCAUUUCACCACUCAAGCCUGGCUUGG
rnacentral:rRNA from 1 species